UAAAUGUUUGCCAUUCAUUGAUAUGUAGAUUUCAUUUUAACACAUUUAGAGGGUUUCAUUCCAGGAUAACGUUUACAGGGCAAAGAGAUUUUUAUUUUUUCUCAAUUUAUUAUGAUGUUAUGACAUAACAACUUCAACGCGUAUCCUUUAUCUUCACACCUGCAGGUCCAGUAGGCCUCAAGAACAGUUGAUGGAAUAGCCUAAGCAGAAGAUUUUUGGCAAGGACUGGAAGACAUGUCACAAGAUCAAGGUCAUCUUCUGUGAGUGGAUUUGUUUUUCCAAAACCACUUGAAGAGGAAUUCUAAAUUGCAGUUGGAAGAUGGAAAUAUCCAGGUUUCAUCCAGAGUAUCCUGCAAGCAGAAACGAAGCAACAAGCACAACAACCUUAAGAAUGAGCUCAAACAUAUUCCUCUACCAAGGAAUCAGAAGGGUGACGAAAUGGAAAGCAGGCUGUUUACAGAGUACUUCUUCAGCCCUAGUAGAAGUAUAUAUGCUGCAGUGAAGUUCUGCGGUCAUUCCAUACAGAUUUGCCAUCAGGAUUGGCAUCGCAGCUUUGUGAUAUCCUGAGUCUGAUUCAUGGAAAGGUCACCAAAGGUUGUUAAGAACGGCUGAAGGACAUUGCUGACAUCCAAACGCUCACAUGCUCUGAUGCCAGAGAGAAUGGAAAGAAGACAAAGGGAGAAAUAAAAUGAAGGUAUGAAGAUGCAUGGUGACAAGUGAUUUUGAAGUGAUGGAGGAGAGUUCACAUCAAGGUACUUUGGGAAGGAGACUAAGCAUCACUUCAGAAGAUGAUUCUUGCAGAAUGGGAAACUUCCUAUGCAUUUUCAACAUAUGAAAAAUAUCUUCACUGGCAGUUUGCACUGGAAAGGUAAGAGUGGGCAGCAUAAUGAUCCCAAGUUGUAUCAAAAAGAUGGACCCACUGGUUGUGUUGGUAUGAAUAGGCUUUUACCUUGGUACUAACGGGACAGAAUGACACAAAACUGCCAUACCAUGUGGGGACGCACAUUUCCCUAGAGAUUGUUGGAGAGACAACUGUAGUCUUCAACUUUGUGCAAGAAGUGCCAAAACUGAAAUGGGACAUAGUUGGUUCCAGCCUGCUAGGAUUUCCCUAUGCAUCCAUACACCAGCAUCAAGGUGACUUCAUUUUUACCACCUUGAAUUAGGAAGACAAGGUAAAACGCAAAGAGGAGCUGUAAUGAGGAAAGACAAAAGUCAAAUCUAGGGCAUUAGAAGACUUUAAGACCUCAAGAUGUCUUGAGUUCUUUAGGGUGUUGCCAGAUCAGCAGCAGAAGGCUUUACUACUUGUUAAACCAUCCUGAUCUUGAUCUUAUGAUGACUGACCAAUGUACCAAGUAAUAACAUUCCUAGCAGAAUAUUGAUCUCUGCUCUUCUGCUAAGGGAAUAAAUACUCUUGUUUCCCUGAGGAUGAGCAAGCUGUAAGACAGGAGGAACGCGUUGUACCUGAUGGCUAGCUCACUUAAACUCAGCUCAGACUGCGUGUGCAGGAAGGCAGCAGGGCUCAGAGGGGCAGAUGAGAAGUUAAUGAAGCACUAAGCUUUGCUUGUCAGAACCCUGAUGUCUGACAUUAUCAUCAGAGACCUGAUUGCCCUUUUUCUUUCUGAGCAUUAGCCAGAUGAAAUCCAGUUACCAUAGCUCUGCGUGCUCCAAAAGCACAGAAGCAUUUUGAUCUGCAAUUCUGAUUUUCAGCCUUUUUUUCUCUAUAAUGGAACUCUGCCUUAGAAUGAAUAAUUUUCUAGAUUCUGCUCUGUGAUUAGCCACAGGAAACCCAGUAAAAUUACACUGUAUAAAUGAACAGAGCUACAUGAAAUUAAUAGCUCUCAGCAGCCUGCAGAGUGAUGUGAAGAGGAUAUUAAGAACUGGAAUAAUUUUGAGAACAGCAAAAAGGAAGCUUCUAAUAAUAGACAAAAUGCAUAACAACCUACAGACCAAAGACUUGUCUUUUUAUUUGGUCCCAGGGACAAAGAUUUUCUCUUUUAACUCCAAAAAAAAAUGUACAGGGCUGGAAUAAAAUGUCUGUCUGCUGCUAUUUUGCCCAGGGAGGUAGUGGAGUCACUGCUCCUAGAGCUGUUCAAGAAAUGUUUAUGUGUUGUACUGAGGGAUGUGGUUUAGUGGGAAACGUUGGUGAUGGGUGGAUGAGUGGAUUGGAUGAUCUUGGAGGUCUUUUCCAACCCUGGUGAUUAUGUGAUUCUAUUCACUCUUGCCUUUGUUAAUACAGGCUGCUCUGCUGUUUGGUGCUGACAGCUCUCAAGUCCUAUUGCCAACAAAGAUUUUGGAGAGGGGGACCUCUUUACUUUCAAGGUAACUAUCAGUCAGCUCACUUUUUCAUUUAAAUUGCUAAAUACACUAAUUAUAGCAGAUGAGUCUCUCUGCUAUUGCUGCUGCAUCAGCUUCAAAAUCUGUUGCUCAAUUUUGCAAAUGCGUUGAUAUGAAAAUACACCUCACUCCCUCAUUUUAUUUUGGGGGAUAUUAAUACAGUGGACAAGCACAGAUAGCCAGCCCUGGAGAUAAAACUGUAACAGGAAUGGCUGUGUGCAUUUUCUCACCCAGUCCUCCUAUCUAAUGUCCCUUUUCAGCUACCUCCAUGAGUGCUCAGCCUUCCAUCUCCUUGCUGAGGUGGCUGCACAGCAGAUGCAUUCAUCUGCUGCCUGCUUAGACCAAAAUAAAAUUUGUAAGUGACAGUUUGAUUAUUUGAUAUGUUGUUACAGAUCCUGGGGCCAUGGCUAGAAAAGGCACAAAGGGCAUUCAGUUUGUUUCCCUGCUUCCUGUGGAUCAUUAAUAACACUGGAGAGCGAAGUAUUGCUUUUGUGCUUACAGCAUAGCUGGGAGCCUAGUACUGCAGGUAGUUUUGCUUUAUCUUCUACAAAACAAACUCUGAGCAGGCUCUUGUAACUGUUAUCUGUGCUAAAUGCUUUUAUUUCAAGUAGAUUUUCUACAAGUGGAAUCCUGCUCUGAAGCUGAUGCACAAAAUACUCAGCAAAGCACAGAAGCCUCUUCAACUUUUUUACAGUAUAGCUCUGGGGAGCGUAUUUGCACUUACUCGUUAUCCCUCAGUGACAGCACUUCUCCAGAUGCUGGGCUCCAAGGAGAGGAGGAGCAGCUACGGCACUCCAAGUUAAGCUGUGCUGACAGUUGAGGAUGUAACUUAUACACACGUAUAAAGAGGCAGUAAUAGAUAUGGUCCUUUGAAAUGUGCUAUGGUACAGCCAAAAUUUCUUCCCCAUUCCCCUCUGUGGGUUAGCUGCACUUAAUGAUGGAUGAGUCUCCUUUUUUAAUGCUUGAAUUUUAACCUUCCUGAUACUUCUAGGAGAUUAGUGACUGUAAUGGAUCAAGCCAGAACACAGAAUAUGAAAAUAUAUACAGUAUGUAAUCACUGUCAAAACUGACCAGACUCUGAACCAGCUCCACUUGCUUCAAUUUAGGGAUCUUUUAUAUGCCUGAUGGUAUUCUGUGUAUACUCUUGCAUGCAGUAUCCUUGCACCUGAAUCUUAGAGAUAUUUUGGGUUUGUUUUUUUUUUUUUUUUGCAGCAAGAAAGUGACAGAACAGUUAACAUCUUUAACUAGAAGAUAGGAACUGCUUGUGCUUGCUGCCUGCACCUUGUUUUCCCAUCACACUGUCAAGCCAAUUACUUUAAUUAAAGUUCCGUCUGGCCUUUUUUGACAACUCAGCCUGUAAUGAUGAAAGUACGUAUGAGAAUGAUCUGGAUUAGGGAGUCAGAAUUCAUUGUUUUCCAACACUCCUGCAAUUACUAUUAAUUUCAUAUGAAAGUAGGGCACUUUCUUUGGGAAAAACAACACAAAACUGUCACUUGGGUUCAUUAGCAGAGUGGUGGUUCUCUGCAAUUCCCUCUCCAAUACAUUUCUCCAUAGGUAAAGAGUUUAGUACAGUGCUUUGAGAAAAAAAUGCAAACACUGCUAAUUGCACUGAGAUUAAUAUUCUAGGAAAUUUAAACAAACCAUUCCACUAGCAAAGUUACUUGGCAGUAGAAUAACCUUGCUGGGCAAGUACCUUGUUGUCAAAUUGGUUUUAAUCAUGGUGGAAAAAUGUACUGUUCAUGUGCUUUCAGGUUUUGGUAUAACUUAGAACUACAGCUGCUGCAGUAUAACUUACUUUCUGUGUAGCCAAGCUUCCAUAACACCACUUCUCAAGAUUUUUCUCAGAAUGCAUCUCUUCUGUCCUCAACCAUCUUCACAGAAAUCCUCUAAACUGGAAAAUAGCUAAACACACAGAAGCUCAUUUUCUCAACUGAGUUGUCAUUGGAUUUUUCAUCCUCAGGUUAACUUACAAACACCUUACAAGAGAAAAAUACAGUAUCUUUCCAGCUUUAAAAGCAAGUUCACAAAGACAGGAAAAAAAAAAUAGUGACUAGAAGCAAUUCUAAUCACCAAUUUGGGGCAUGCAGCUUUGAUUCAAGUAACUGUCCACCAGCCCUGAAGGGAAAUGAGUUUAAAGAGAAAAGGAAAAUUCAAACUUCCCAAUGGAUUUGCCAUCUCUUAGUCCAGCCUCAGGCUCAGUAGCAGGAAAGUGUCAAAAAUAGGCUCUGUGCCUUCAGACAAGGCUUUCUGGAAUUAGCAGAGUAGUUGCAUGAGGCAGUACAUAUAGAUUUGGAGCAAUAAUUUCUCUUCCACUGUCUCACUGUUCAAAAUUUUGGGGGUUUUAUUUUUGGUGUUUUUUUUUUUUUUGUAGCAAGAAGGAGAUUUUCAAAGUAAUUUCUUUUUCUCUCCACUCAGGAUUUUUAUAAUCUCUGAAAUAAGGACAGCUGCAACUUGUUUUGAAAAGGAAGUGCUCAUGGGAAUAAUACAAUGAAAAUGAUCCCCAAUAGAAAAAAGUUCAGUGAUCAGAGUUGUUACUUAAAGUAGGCUCUAUAAAAGCCACUUCCAGGACCCUCACCAGAACCCAGAGACUUACUAAGAUUGAGACACAGGUACUUGUGUACCUGCCACAUCUUACCUUUCUGUGCUAUUUCUACCCCACAUAUACAAGACAACACUCGCUGUUAAUUAGGCUUCAUAGUUCCCCAUAUUCAUUUGCUACAACUGUAUGCUUAUGAAAGUAUGAGCUCUCUGGAAAACCUGGAUUAUGAUGAAAUAAGCUUGAAAACAUUAUAUUUGGCCUUUGGUUCCUGGAUGUGACACAUCUAUAAACUCCUGUUGUCAUUGCAAUACAGUAUCUCUACACAGAAAUAGGGGCUAUUUCUUGUACUGCCCUAUUCCAAUCACACUUUGUGCCUCUUCCUGCAAACAGCAGACAGAUGGAGCAUCAAUUCCUAGAUUAUCAUAUCCAGUCACUGAUAGUGGAAGGCAAGCGUUAGUAGCAUGCAUCUGUCUCUCAUAAUGUUAAGACUCACAAUUACAAACACAGCUUAGUGUAUGCAAGUGCUAGAAUGCACACACAAUGAACUUGUACUGCAUCAGAACUGAGUCAACGCCUAUCGCUUAUUCCAUCUGGAAAACUAACAUGUUUAGCAACUAUGACAUAGAACAAUUCUAUACAAUGUUGUACCACAGUAAAAAAAUGCACAAAAAUUUGACAAAACCCAGAAAAGCUGCUAGAAAAAUCUCAACAGUAGAAAAUAAGCACUUCCAGUAUAAAUCUCACUUUCUUUUUGUAUCCACUAUAAUCACACUGGUCUGCCUUUCAUUAUAUUUCCAUACAAAUGUUGUGUUGGUGCUGUUCUCCAUUGGAGCUCUCACCUUCAUAUAGUUUGCCCUAACAUCCAAAGCUUCUGCCAUCAAGAUUCAUGAUGAUUAACUUGCAUUUCUUUUCUGUGAUUGUGGCAGUACUUAUUCAACAAAGUCCCUACCUAUACGUAUUUAUAUAGAUAUACAUGUAUAUAUACACACAUACAUACAUACACAUGACAAAUACUGCUGCAGUUAUCCUCUCUUCCAGUGUUUGGAGUGACAGGCAUCCUAGAACGUGAAGGCAUACACCACUCCCACAACCACAAUAUUUCCAAUUGUUGCUAUGAUCGCAAUCCAUAACAAUAUGGCAUCAUUUGAAGACCGGGAUGUUUCUUCUGGUGGAUUCUGCAUGGAAGAAGCUGCAUGGACAUUGGCCGAUGAGUUAAACAAGGAGUACUCUGUACUAAAGUCCUCAUUUGGUGAGUCCAUAAAGGCUCCUCCCAUAACAGGAAGCUGCAAAGAAGAAUAUGGCAAAAUUAGAUUGAAAGCCAAUGCAUGCAUUUGUUUGGUUUCGAAGUCAUUAUGAAAGGGUAACCACUAGCCAACCUCCCACAUCACUGAGGUUCCAUGUUCUUGGUGCUAAGCUGUCAGGACGAUCAUGUACAUACUGUACACUACUUCUUCCAUUUCUGUUAGGAUUGUUUUUACUGAAAAAAAACCUAUGCGUAUUGCACAUACCAUCAUACAUCAGAGCUAGUCUACAGGCUCCAAGUAAAGCUACACAAUAAUAUGAAAUUGUCAUUUCUUUUCAAAGGAUAAAGAAAUGGUAAUCCACAAAAGCAUUCACAUACCAAAGCACAGCACCAUAACUGUUUUAAGACUACCAGCAACAAACUCAUCAAGUAAGCACAGUGUGGAUGUGAGCAGGGAAUUUGUUCCACUUUUAUGUAUGGCUUAGAAGCAAACACAAUUUAUAUAUGCAAAAACAAAAAACAAAAAACAUGCAUUGCAGAAGUUGUUACAGUAAAGAAGAUGGAGUGCGCCAAGUGCACUAACUUCACUUGCAAAACAUAUCUGCAAUGUGUUAUUUAUAAAUCUAUAAAUUCUGAUAAUUCUGUAUAUCUAGAGAAUUAUUAAUCUACGCAGUGGAAAACUUCAAUUAUGAUAGACUUCAGAGUAAUGAAGUUAGUGACAGAUUUCCAGCAUCACUACUACCUUACUGGGUGUUCUUAAUGGUUUUUCCAGUGCUACCACAAAAAGUUUUCAGUUCUUCAUUUGCAAAUGUUUUUGAGGUUUUGGCAACUCUUCACCUAUCCGAAUUGGGCUCUCCUCUAUGUAUGAAACCAGAGUCUUUAGCCCAGUAACAACAAAAUAAGAAUCCUCUCUUCUUCAGUAUUAGUAAUAGUACUAUUAGAGCUAGCAGCAGCUCAGUACUGCUGAAGUCACCAUGGCCUACGAAUAAUGGAGUAAUCAACCUUACUUUCCUUUAGCCACACCACAGAAGGCUGCUAUAACCAUGAGCGCUAAAUUACCAUGCCCAUUGCUCACUGUGCUGGAAAAUUAGUGUCUUUCAACACUAUCCUUCAAAUACUGCAACACACUUUGAUUCGCCUGUUGGUACCAAGCUACAUCCCACCUGUCUGCCUUCAGCUGUGCUAUGGAGGCUGCUAAACAAGAGAGGACUCAAAGAUAAGCCACCUCCCUCCUCCCACAAUGGUGGCUGUAAUCUAAUAUUAGAGCAAAGAAUUUGCUAAGUGUGACAGUAAGGCAAUCUUUUCCUUGAUAUUCAGAACAUUCUACAAAGCAGUCACUGUUUCAAAAACUGACUGCUGAGCAGAUUUUGUUUGUACUGGAAAAUAUGUCACAUUUCAAAUGAAACAGAGACAGAAACAGUUAUGUCAUACUUCCUAAUCCACAUUAAAUAAAAUUAUUUUUGAGAGCAAAUAAAUGGUAUGAUUAGACAAAAGCAGUUUACUUGAAACCAAACAGGAAACUGCAAAAGUCAGGUCUGGAACACUGGCCCUGCACCAAAGAAUUUUUGCUUCUACUUUCAGCACUGUGCUUUAUAGAGAGCAAAAGCUUCAAUUUUGCAGCAAGCCCAGCUUGCUCCUCUGAAUCCAACAGCACCAGCAUCUUUUACAUCUUGGGAUUCAAUAGAGAAAACUGUUCAAUUUAACCAGAAUUCCUUUUUAUGUAGGGAUUAAAGUCAGAAUUGGCUUUUAUAGCAAAUGCAACCAGAGCAUUCAUGCAGAAGAGCUGCCAUUCAGCAGCUAUGGAGAUACUAGUUAAAGCAGCAAACAACGGGCACAUGUUUACUACAGCAGCAGCAAAACGCUUACUCUUUUUAGUAUUUACAUUGAUCAAAUCUACAAAGUCUUUCAACUACAGCAACCAUCCUUGGUGAUUGUUCAUGGAAGACACACAGGUACAUGUAAAUGUGCAUGAGCCCAAGACUGUGAGGUUGUGAGCACUGUUCCAAUAAGUGAUAUCUGUUUUUUGGGCCACACAUUCUCUACCUUCUGUGAAUUAUUUGAGCUGACAAGGUUCCACUGUGCUGAUCCACAUGGUGCUGUCACAAGGGCAGGGAGCACGCAUGUAGCAGCACAGCUACACACCAUGCUGCAAGUGAUGUCAGAUCUGGGCUUCCUCAUUCCAUGCAAGGCUCAAACAAGCUGUUUUCACCAUCUGAGGGGAACACAUGGUGAAACAGCUCAUCUGAGUCUCCAAAAGGCUUGCAGUGACCUGACAUAAAACCCUGAUGUUCAGCACCUGGCACAGGCUCUUUCUGUAAAAUUGACUUUCAGUUUUUCUGUUUGUAGGUCAGUGGCACUUUCAUUGGCAGAUCUGGAAAUAAACCUCACUGCUGAUUUCCCAUUUGAAAAAAAAUUGAUCAUUACUAAAUUUUCAUUCUCCCUCCCACUGAUAAAACAUCCUCAUGUAAGAACACAGGAAUGGCCAGAAAGCUGAUUUUCUGGGCUGUGACUGGCUUUAAGCACCAACAAUGGCCCUAAGUGCUCAGGAAAGAGUAAAAGCACAACUGGACAAGUAUAUCUGAUCCUACUUCUUUGGUUUGUAAACUCAAUGCUAUUACUCUGGAUUUAAUAACUAACUCUCAAAGAAUUUUGUUACCAUGAACACAUCUAAAGCUGUGCAGGCUUCUCAAUCCAGCUUCUUGCUGCCACUUAUCUGGAAGGGUUGCCCAGUGAUUAGCACCACAUAAGUGAGCUGUUGGAGACGCAUUUGGCUCUCCAGUGGAGAGGGAAGCACAGAGAAAAUACAAACUGGUGAUCUAUCUUAGUGGUAGAUUAACCUCAGUAAGAUAACGUCACCCUUAGCCUUGAUGUCUUUGAUUCUCCCAAAAGGCACAGCAUCUUCCCUUUUCAGCCUCAUUUAAGAUAUUGCAUUAAAGCUUGUGAGACAUUCAUACCCAACACUAAUUGGAGCUGUGAAGUGCUUGUAAUAAACUGUAGGCUAAGGAGAGAAACCCUGCAGUACUUCCUGUUCUUGCUGCACUUGCCUGUCUCUGCCUCUGCAAAACAUACAACAAUUUAUUUUAGCCAAGAACUUAACCCACAUCAUUGCUAUUGCGCAGGCAUCCUCAGAGGGUAUUAUAGUUGGAGCAAAGCAGUGGAGCACCUGUUCCACACUCCUCAAAAUCCCUGCGUGAGGAGACCAGGGAAAAAGGUUAACUGGGAAACGUGGCAGUGAGGGAUACGGCAGGAGAGGACGGUGAGGGAGAGUGCCAUAGCUCUGAAACUCUUUUCUGAGUCAAUAACACAAAGUACAUCUCUUGCUAAAUAGCUUCUGGGAACAGCAAAGAAAAAAUCUGAACUAUUAAAUAACAGGCAAAAAAAGCCCAAACAUAACAUCAAGAGUAAAGAGAACCCCCAUGGCGCUGAAUGCCUCCUCCUGGCAUUCUCCUCAGCCAUCCUCAGCUGAGGGCCAGCAGGAGUAGAACAGGGCUCUUGAACAGUUAAAAUGAUACAUUUGCCUGUUGGCAAAAAAAAAAAAAAAAUAUAUAUAUAUAUAUAUAUAUAUAUAAAUCUGUUUUAUAACUUAAAUGAUUCACAUAAAGGAAAGAAAACAUGGCAGGUCCCAUUCACCAAUACUCUAAAAAUGAUGGCUUAAGUAACAUCACAUAAAAUCCAUCAUUUAGCAGUAACGUUGUUCCAUUUCUUUGAGAAUCAGAGAACAUCUUUUACAUCAAGCUAGACAAGUACGACAUUCAGUUCCUGCUAUGUUAGAGGGAAUCCAGGCUCAGCAGAUAGAUUUGAAAGCACAGCUAAAUCUUCCAGUAGCUGUUUUCAAGAGACCAGGAAACCUCAGCAGCAUCUUUGACAGAUAUGCUGGACCACUAGUGGAUGGAGCUCAGCUAAAUCUUUAUCCCUAAGCAUGGCCACACCUCAAGUACUUUGUAAGAGAACGUGCCUUAUGCAGACCAAAGCACCUUUCAGCGCAAAGUUAUUCUGCUGAACCAGUUGAAAGAAACAGUAAUUGGUGAGAAGGUGUUUCCAUCCUGUUUUUUUUUUUCCCCAACUCUUAUAUUUCUGCGCAAGUAGCAUGCAAGUUACCUUAGUGAAAAAGGCACAGUUCCAUUCCACACAAUCUAGAUUUCCCAAAUUCUUUCUUGUAAUAGCUCUUACUAUUCAAACAACAACAACAAAAAAAAAAAAAAGAAAAAAAAAAAGAAAAAGAAAAAACCAACAACAACCAAACAAAACAAGAAUAGCAAAACAGCAACAAAAAACACCCGACUGCUUUCAAAUUGACUACUAUCGGUGUCAGUUAACUGCUCUUGGAUCUCAUCUUCCAAAUGUGGAAGACGAGGAGCAAGUAGAAGUCCUUAAUUGCUGAAAAUUGAAACAGAGUCUGAAAUGGAAACAGAGGAGGGGUUCCUCCUCUCAUCCCUAGUCUCAAGAGUUCCUCCUCCCCUUCCAGCCAAUGUCAGUAAUGCUGCAUCAAGAAAAAGAGGAAGCUUUGCUCAGAGCUGAACAAAAAUAAAAACAAUUGUAUAAAGAAC